UCCCUCGUGGCGCAAUUGGCUAGCGCGUUCGACUGUUAUCACUCUCUUCUCAUUCUUAAACCGAUGUAGAAGACGAAAUUCCAAAUCGAGAGGUUGGUGGUUCAAGCCCACCCGAGGGAG